rnacentral:rRNA from 1 species
GUGGGGAAUAUUGGGCAAUGGGCGCAAGCCUGACCCAGCAACGCCGCGUGAGGGAAGAAGGCCUUCGGGUUGUAAACCUCUGUCCUUGGUGACGAAAAAAAUGACGGUAGCCAAGGAGGAAGCCCCGGCUAACUACGUGCCAGCAGCCGCGGUAAUACGUAGGGGGCGAGCGUUGUCCGGAAUUACUGGGCGUAAAGGGUGCGUAGGUGGCCUUUUAAGUUGGAUGUGAAAUACCCGGGCUUAACUUGGGGGGUGCAUCUAAUACUGGAGGGCUAGAGUGCAGGAGAGGGAAGCGGAAUUCCUAGUGUAGCGGUGAAAUGCGUAGAUAUUAGGAGGAACACCAGUGGCGAAGGCGGCUUUCUGGACUGUAACUGACACUGAGGCACGAAAGCGUGGGGAGCAAACAGGAUUAGAUACCCCUGUAGUCC